rnacentral:lncRNA from 10 species
AGCUUUCCAAACUCAGCAGAGCACACAUCAGAGUGUGUUUAGUUCAUCUGGGCUGGUGAGUUCCAGUGAUGAAAGCCUGGUGCUAAUGGAGGCGAGGUCACCGGUUCAAUCCUCAUAGGACCCAGUUCACUUACAAGAGAAUGUAUCAAUACCAUGAAGAUCACAGAAAAAGGAGUAAAAAAUAUUAAAGCAGAUAAUCUUGAAGAUCACUAGAUUCCAAUUUAAAAUAAACUACCCAGGCCAAUUUUCAUCAGUAAAUUCAAUAAAGUGUUUCCUGAUCAUUUGAGGAGGAUCAAAUUACAACCCCAAACCCCGCUCCUAGCACAAGAAGAAUUUGUGUUCAGGUUGGCCCUCGGACCACAGUGAGAGGGAGCUGGUCAUAAACAUUCCAACCGGCUUUCACGUUGCUUGACUUUACCCAGACAACACUUCCUAUCUCUUGAUUUUUCACCUUCUUAAAAAUAGGCCUUUUGAAAGCCCAUUCUUAAUUAGUUUACCUUAAAAUAUGUCCUCUACAGCUAUUCAGACAAAAGGAAUGUGAUACUUGGCUUGUUUAAACAGUAUUCAACUCAUGUGAAACAAAUUAUUCACAUAAAGCAGGGGAUUACAGGCAAAACCUUUACAGUCGGGGAAAAAAGCACAAGUUGACCUUGAUUUUUUUCUCUCCAUGAAUUUAAUACAGCUCAAGGAACCACUGAUGCAUGUGUGUACCAAGCAUGUGCUCUGGGCUGAGGCCCUGCCCUUUGAAAGCCUCACAGACAGA